UUAUGAUGUAAAUUUUUUUAUGCCUGAGUAGUAUUAGUUUUGUUCUUGAAACUUAAAGAAUUUGGCGGUAUUUUAGUCUUCUUAGAGGAAUCUGUCCCUUAAUCGAUAUUCCACGUUGAAUACUUACUUAAUUUAAUGUUUAUAUACCGCCGUAUAAUGAGAUAUCUUCUUAGAGUAGAAAAGUUUCUUGUUUUUAAUUGAAUUACUUUCAGGUCAAGGUUUAAUUUAUGAUUAAGUGGAGAUGGAUUACAAUAUUUUUUGAUUAGGAUGGAUCUUUUAUUGUAAUAGUUGAGGUGAAGGUGGAUUUAAUAGUAAUUUGAUUUAGAAUAUUUAGGUGAUCUUAGCUCUAUAAUAUGU
rnacentral:rRNA from 1 species